UACAGAGGGGGCAAGCGUUGUUCGGAAUUACUGGGCGUAAAGGGCGCGUAGGCGGCCUUCUAAGUCGAACGUGAAAUCCCUGGGCUCAACCCAGGAACUGCGUCCGAUACUGGAAGGCUUGAAUCCGGGAGAGGGAUGCGGAAUUCCCGGUGUAGCGGUGAAAUGCGUAGAUAUCGGGAGGAACAUCAGUGGCGAAGGCGGCCCUCUGGUCCAGUACUGACACUCAAGUGCGAAAGCGUGGGGAGCAAACAGG
rnacentral:rRNA from 1 species